rnacentral:rRNA from 1 species
GACGAACGCUGGCGGCGUGCUUAACACAUGCAAGUGGAGCGACGAACCAGGCUUCGGCCUGGGGCAGAGCCGCGAACGGGUGAGUAACACGUGGGUAACCCACCCCGAUGACCGGGACAACCCGAGGAAACUCGGGCUAAUACCGGAUGUACUGCACUCUCAUAAGUGAGUGCAGGAAAGAUAGCUUCGGCCUUCGCAUCGGGACGGGCCCGCGGCGCAUUAGCUUGUUGGUGGGGUAAAGGCCUACCAAGGCUACGAUGCGUAGCUGGUCUGAGAGGACGAUCAGCCACACUGGGACUGAGACACGGCCCAGACUCCUACGGGUGGCUG